ACUCAAAGGAAUAGACGGGGGCCCGCACAAGCGGCGGAGCAUGCGGCUUAAUUCGACGCAACGCGAAGAACCUUACCAAGGCUUGACAUACAGGGAAAUCCUCCAGAGAUGGGGGGUCCGUAAGGGUCCUGUACAGGUGGUGCAUGGUUGUCGUCAGCUCGUGUCGUGAGAUGUUGGGUUAAGUCCCGCAACGAGCGCAACCCUCGUUCUAUGUUGCCAGCGCGUUAUGGCGGGGACUCAUAGGAGACUGCCGGGGUCAACUCGGAGGAAGGUGGGGAUGACGUCAAAUCAUCAUGCCCCUUAUGUCUUGGGCUGCACGCAUGCUACAAUGGCCAGUACAAAGGGCUGCGAUACCGCAAGGUUGAGCGAAUCCCAAAAAGCUGGUCUCAGUUCGGAUUGGGGUCUGCAACUCGACCCCAUGAAGUCGGAGUCGCUAGUAAUCGCAGAUCAGCAACGCUGCGGUGAAUACGUUCCCGGGCCUUGCACACACCGCCCGU
rnacentral:rRNA from 1 species